rnacentral:lncRNA from 1 species
GCCGGCCUUCCUCCGAUCCACACCUCCACUCUAUCUCUCUCAAUCUAGUAGAAACUAGAAGAUCUAUUUCUACUUUACAUUGGUUGCUAAGCCUAAAAACAAAUAUUAUUUAGAGAAGAGGUUUUCCUUCGAGGGCACCCCUCAAUCUCUAUGAUAAUUUCUUGUCUCCUCCAGGGGCCAGAGGGGGUCUCCUUAUAUAGUCCUCCCCUUCUAUGCGUUUUUGGGUCGAUAGGCGAGGUGGUACUAUGUUAUUCUGGAUCCAAUAGGUCGGUGGAACGUCGUGUGCGAAGAGAGUCCGGAACGGGGUUCAGAGGUGGGCGAGCGCCCAGGUCCUUA